UACGUAGGGGGCUAGCGUUGUCCGGAAUCAUUGGGCGUAAAGCGCGCGUAGGCGGUCCGGUAAGUCCGCUGUGAAAGUCGGGGGCUCAACCCUCGGAUGCCGGUGGAUACUGUCGGGCUUGAGUACGGAAGAGGCGAGUGGAAUUCCCGGUGUAGCGGUGAAAUGCGCAGAUAUCAGGAGGAACACCGAUUGCGAAGGCAGCUCGCUGGGCCGUAACUGACGCUGAGACGCGAAAGCGUGGGGAGCAAACAGG
rnacentral:rRNA from 1 species